GCAAACUUGGUCAUUUAGAGGAAGUAAAAGUCGUAACAAGGUUUCCGUAGGUGAACCUGCGGAAGGAUCAUUAAUAGAAUGAAACUUUGAGUCAGGGUUGUAGCUGACCUCCUUCAUGAAAGGGGGGGGUAUGUGCACACCUUGAUUUGAGCAUUCAUAAUAUAUAUAUACCUCUCUUACACCUGUGCACAACCAGUAGCCAUGGAGAGAUUUUACCAUCUCUCUCUGCGCUAUGUAUUUUACAUACACACCAUAAUAAAAAGAAUAGAUGAUAAUGAUGAAUAAUAAUUACAACUUUCAGCAACGGAUCUCUUGGCUCUUGCAUCGAUGAAGAACGCAGC
rnacentral:misc_RNA from 1 species